GAUGAACGCUGGCGGCGUGCCUAACACAUGCAAGUCGAGCGAACGGACGCGACGCUCGCUUCACUGAUGUUAGCGGCGGACGGGUGAGUAACACGUGGAUAACCUACCUAUACGACUGGGAUAACUUCGGGAAAGUGGAGCUACUACCGGAUGAUAUUUUGAACCGCAUGGUUCAAAAGUGUAAGACGGUCUUGAUGUCACUUCUAGAUGGAUCCGUGCUGCAUUAGUUAGUUGGUAAGGUAACGGCUUACCAAGGCAACGAUGCAUAGCCGACCUGGGAGGGGGUUCGGCGACACGGGAGCUGGGACGCCGUCCAGGCUCCUACGGGAGGCAGCAGUAGGGAAUCGUCCGCAAUGGGCGGAAGCCUGACGGAGCGGCGCCACGUGAGUGAUGAAGGUCUUCGGAGCGGAAAACUGUGUUAUGAUUGAAGAACAUAUGUGUAAGUAACUGAGCACAUCGUGACGGUACCUAAACAAGAAGCACCGGCUAACUACGUG
rnacentral:rRNA from 1 species